GUUUGGUGAUAGUAUUUUUUUUUUUAAUUUUUCGGUGAACUUCGUUUACGUGGUUUCGCGCUUUCUCACUUUAGUAUUAUAUAGUUUAAAGUAUAUAAUUUUAGUAUCUGUGGUUUCAUUUUUUUCUUUUUGCCUUCGUUGACUCUUUACUAAAUCAUAUACAAAAAAACUUCAAAUAUCUCAUUUAUGAUUUAUCGAAUAUUUAUUUUAGUACACUUGUUCACCGAACUUUUACUUUAGUAUCAUGUGGUUUUAACUUUGUCAUUAAUUUAACGAAAAAAAUAACAAAGGAGAUAAGGUAAAGAAAACAAGAAAACCACAGAAUACGAAAGUGAUAUAAUUUAAACAAUAUGGUACUAAAGUGAGAAAAAAUGCGAAACUACAGGAACAGUAUUUGAAGAUUUUAUCUUAAUUUUAUUAUCAUUAUUAUUAUUUUUUUUUGCGACUCUAAAAUCAAGGU
rnacentral:lncRNA from 1 species